rnacentral:rRNA from 1 species
AACGAACGCUGGCGGCAGGCCUAACACAUGCAAGUCGAGCGAGACCUUCGGGUCUAGCGGCGGACGGGUUAGUAACGCGUGGGUACGUGCCCUUCUCUGCGGAAUAGCCACUGGAAACGGUGAGUAAUACCGCAUACGCCCUUCGGGGGAAAGAUUUAUCGGAGAAGGAUCGGCCCGCGUUAGAUUAGAUAGUUGGUGGGUAACGGCCUACCAAGUCUACGAUCUAUAGCUGGUUUUAGAGGAUGAUCAGCAACACUGGGACUGAGACACGGCCCAGACUCCUACGGGAGGCAGCAGUGGGGAAUCUUAGACAAUGGGCGCAAGCCUGAUCUAGCCAUGCCGCGUGUGUGAUGAAGGUCUUAGGAUCGUAAAGCACUUUCGCCAGGGAUGAUAAUGACAGUACCUGGUAAAGAAACCCCGGCUAACUCCGUG